AGUCUCGAGAUCUGAUUGGUUAUCGUAACUGUCCGUUCGUGUACAGCGCACAGGAGCCUGUUUUUGUUGGUUCUGAACGCCUCAGGCAGUCCUCAAUGGUCCUAGCAACACAAGCCUGCUGAGAUAUGAUUAGAUAAAGACUUUACAAUAAUAUACAACACUGGAAGCGGCGAAAUCAAGCGGAAAUAAUGAGACGAAGAAAAUACACCAUGGGGAAUUAUUUUAUUUACCAAAAACAACUUUUCACAGUAUGUUGGGGCUAGCAGAAAAGUUAGCUGCCCCUGGCAACCGUAGUGUCAGUAGUGAAGGACUUCCUCGCUGUCUCCAACGUCUGCGUCUCUCCUGCGUUUUCACGCACGUCCGUGCAUGUGCAUAAAUGCCAUGGAAACCGCUGACGCGAAAUGGGUCGUCAUUUGCCCCAGGGCCUUGUGAAGCUCUGGAGUCGCUUCAAGCGUUGGAGAAACCGGAGGAUCCAGCCGGAGCAGCCGGUGGGCGAAGGUGGUCCAGAUGGGCCUAACGGCGUCCACGUCCAUCCUUCACCCACUCCUCAGGUGGGUGACUCAUACACACCCCAUCCACCUUCUCCUCCACGCUCUCUUGUUUUUUGGUCUGCUGGUCCUUCUGUUUCCCCUUCACCCCCUCCUGUUCCUUGUUGCUUUGAUGUUCUUGCUUUUUCUCCUUCACCCUGUCCUACUCCUUCUUUUUCUUCUUCUUCUUUCUCACUCUCUUCUGCUUCCUCUGGUACUUGGUGCUCUGACAUCUUUCCCUUUUCUCCUUACCCUUCUCCUACUCCUUCUUCUUCUUCUUCUUCUUCUUCUUCUUCUUCUUCUUCUUCUUCUUCUUCUUCUUCUUCUUCUUCUUCUUCUUCUUCCUCACUCUCUUCUGCUCACUCUGCUUCUCUGUGCUCUCCUCCUCACUCUCUCACCUCUCCUUUUUCUUCUUCCUCGCCCUCCUCUGCUUACUCUGGUACUUGUUGCUCUGCUGUCCUUCCCUUUUCUCCUUCACCCUCUGCUGUUCCUAGUUGUUCUGCUGUCUUUCCUUUUUGUCCUUCACCCUCUCCUACUCCUUCUUCUUCUUCCUCACCCUCUUCUGCUUACUCUUGUCUUUGUUGCUCUGAUGCCCUUCCUUUGUCCCCUUUACCCUCUCCUGUGACGGAGAGAGUGAAGGAGCUCAUCCAGCAGCUCAUCUUCCAGGAGAGGUAAGGAAGACAGUGAUGAGGAGGGGGCUGCUCUUGGAAGACUCAACUGUGGGACGCUGUUUCCUACAGUGAAACCAGUCUUGGAUUUGACCCUAGGGCACCUUUUUUGUAGUUUUAUUUCUAUACCAUAAGUUUAAAUGUUCAUUCCAACUUUGAGAACUAACCUUUGCGUCUGGCUGGGCAGUUUUCAGGUCCCCGGCAGCGUCUGGCGCUGGGACCUUUCUUUCUUUCCUGGAUGAACACAAGUUUAAAUGUUAAUUUUACCCUGAGAACUAGCCUUUGCGUCUGGCUGGGUGGUUCUCAGGUCCCAGGUAGCGUCUGGCACCUGGGCCAGUUUUUGCUAUAUUUUAGCAUGGCGGUUGGAUGGACUUUUCUUUCACCCUGAAGGCUGAGUUCAGCGCCUGGCAGGGCCGUCGAUCCCCCCAUGCAAGUUGCCCUAGCGUCUGGCGGGGUAGCUAUUAUGUUUCUUCCACAGCGAUAGAAGGUCAGCUCAGUCACAGUGGCACUGGGGACACAUGUCGUCUCCCACUGAAGCUCCUCGGUGGCAGAUGACUGCAGUGUCAGGUGUUAUGGAGGAGACACAUGGCUGUCUGCAGUCCACAUCCUGCUCCACACUACAGGGAGCAGUGACUGACGGCUACUGACCAUUACGUCUGUCUUUCCAGUGGACAAAGGUGAGUACAAGAUUUGGUUUGGUUGACAGUUUCAAAGGAAGUAGUUGAAUAAAAAUAUAUUUAUAUUUAUUAUGUUAAAUUUUAUGUGAGAUUAAAUAUGAAUGAGUUUUUUAUUACAUGUAGGCUUAAUUAAAUGAGGAGAGGAGGUUGGAGGCCAACAGCAAACCAGAAUCAGCUCCUGCUGAAUGUAAAUUAUUCAUUGAUCUGUUGUUUUUGCAGAAUAAUUGUUAUAUUCAGUCAUUUGCUAUUGUGGUCUUAUUAGUCCAACAAUUGAUUUUAACCCUCACGCAGCCUUCGAGGGGGUCAGUCUGACCCCACGAGACAAACUAUGAAACUUUUGAUUCUUUUUACGUUUUUUGGCCACAAGGCACCAACGCGUCGCAGGAUCCGCUGCGGCUCGGUCACCCCUCCCUUCUUCUUCGUCACAGGCCCGUCCCGCAUCCUCCCGGGGUCCGGCAUGACCCCAGCUCGCUGUACCUCCCCGUCCCGCGUCUUGCCGGGGUCCGGCGCGACCCCAGCCCGCUGUACCUUCCCGUCCCGCGUCCUCCCGGGGUCCGGCGCGACCCCAGCCCACGGAACCUCCCCGUCCCGCGUCCUCCCGGGGUCCGGCGCGACCCCAGCCCACGGAACCUCCCCGUCAAGCGUCCUGCCGGGGUCUUGGCGCCGCGUUAGAAACCCAUUCUUUCGUAGCUCUCAUUGUGGCGUUCGUGUGCAGCCUUGUUCAUUGUGGCCAUUUGCUAAAUUUUCGUGCCCAGAGCGAGUCGCUGCGUGUGAAGAGCCAGUGGCAUCGAUGUUUCCACAGCGAGUCACUGAUCAGCGCGCUGCUGUUGGCAGGUUUAGUUGAGGUUAGGGUGGUCUGUCGAGGAGCUCCCGCCCCCUGCGACUUGUCCACCGGUCUGCGGGGGAGUUGAGCCUGGUUGUAAACCUCCACACGGUGCGGUUCUCAGAGUAAUGGCUGUCUACAAGAAGACGGAACAUCUGGCAGAUGUGGUCCGCAGGUGUCCACAUCACCAGAAUGCAGACGCUGCAGACCAUCGCAGUCAUUUGAUCAGAGUGGAGGGCAGCCAAAGGCCUCAGUAUCUUGAGGAUUACAACACAAAAAGGCACAGUGUGACUGUUCCCUAUGAGCCGCCCCAGCCGGGCUCAGAGAUCACCACAAUCCUGUUCAACUUCAUGUGCAACAGCUCCUGCAUGGGAGGCAUGAACCGCAGACCCAUCCGCUGAAAUGUAUUUGCUGGAUAAAGAGUAGUGUUACAUGGAAACCGAGGGUCGACGUGGUGUAACUUGAUCUCCUGCUUUAUGUAUUUGCCUGUUUUAUGUUUAUUUUGUUUCUAAAUGUAACUUGAAGUUGAAGUUGUGCAUCACUGUUAUCCCACCUCAAAGAUAGCUUUUGCAGCCUUAGUAAAUGUUUUUCUACUGUUUUUUAGCGGACAACUUUUGGGCCGAAGAUGCUUCGAGGUGCGUGUCUGCGCGUGUCCCGGCAGGGAUCGUAAAACAGAGGAGGCAAAUAGUGCCAAACUUCAGACAGGGGCCAAACAAGUGAAGAAAAGAAAAAGUGCCCCAGCAACAGAUCCUGAUAUGUGCAAAAGGAAGUCUGGCUCAAGCACAGACGAGGAGGAAGUACUUAUGUUGCCAGUUAAAGGCCGUGAGCGCUAUAACAUGUUAAAAAAGAUAAAUGAUGCAUUAGAACUGGCUGAAAAAGAGGCUAAAAACAAAACCAGGGCUUCUAAGGAACUGCUGCCGUCCAGUGGAAAGCGCGUCUUGCAAAAAGCAGAACGAAGCGACAGCGACUAGUUGCAAUCUGCCUUCUUUUAACCGCCAUGUACGAGUUAUGUUCAGUGUUGCUUCCUGGCCAACAUCCCUCAGCAGGAGGCUGCACGAUCAUCGAGUUCAGAUGAACUGCGCGACCCCAGCCCCCUGUACCUCCCCGUCCUGCCGGGGUCCGGCGCGACCCCAGCCCACGGAACCUCCCCGCCCCUCGUCCUGCCGGGGUCCGGCGCGACCCCAGCCCCCUGUACCUCCCCGUCAGGCGUCUUGCCGGGGUCCGGCGCGACCCCAUUUUUUUUGUUUUUUAUUUUUCCUUCUCCUUUCCUCCCCUUUACCUCCACCCGUGCCACAGGCCCACUGAUGAUGAACAUGAUGAUGAUGACGAACAUGAUGAUGAUGAUGAUGAUGCAAGCAGACAGCUGCGUGCAAGGGCUGACCAUUUUAAACGAAAAAUAAAACAGACCAAACAGGCAAAAACAUUUGAUUAAAUGCCAAAAGUUUAUUUAAUAAUAUAAAACAGUUAUGAAAUAAAGGAGUACAAGGCG